rnacentral:rRNA from 1 species
CACGUAGGGGCCAAGCGUUGUCCGGAUUUAUUGGGCGUAAAGAGCUCGUAGGCGGUUGGGUAAGUCGGGUGUGAAAACUCCAGGCUUAACUUGGAGACGCUACCCGAUACUGCUCUGACUUGAGUUCGGUAGGGGAGUGGGGAAUUCCUGGUGUAGCGGUGAAAUGCGCAGAUAUCAGGAGGAACACCGGUGGCGAAGGCGCCACUCUGGGCCGAAACUGACGCUGAGGAGCGAAAGCGUGGGUAGCAAACAGG